rnacentral:rRNA from 1 species
GAUGAACGCUGGCGGCGUGCCUAAUACAUGCAAGUCGAACGCUGGAAAUCUAGCUUGCUAGAUUGAAGGAGUGGCGAACGGGUGAGUAAUACAUAAGCAACCUACCCACGAAGACUGGGAUAAUCUCUGGAAACGGGGACUAAUACCAGAUAGGUAAUCGGAAGGCAUCUUCUGAUUAUUAAAGGUUAAAAACACUGGUGGAUGGGCUUAUGGCGCAUUAGUUAGUUGGUGAGGUAACGGCCCACCAAGACGAUGAUGCGUAGCCGGCCUGAGAGGGUGAACGGCCACAUUGGGACUGAGACACGGCCCAGACUCCUACGGGAGGCAGCAGUAGGGAAUUUUCGGCAAUGGGGGAAACCCUGACCGAGCAACGCCGCGUGAGUGAUGACGGCCUUCGGGUUGUAAAGCUCUGUUGUAAGGGAAGAACGGUAGAUAGAGAAUAUCUAAAUGACGGUACCUUACCAGAAAGCCACGGCUAACUACGUG